rnacentral:snoRNA from 10 species
UGGGCCAAUGAGGAACAUGUGUUAUGAACCAAAGAUAAUGAUUACUCUGGUUAUACUCUAAUGUUGUCCAGA